CCGCAGUGCGUAUGCUGGCAUGUGACGAGGGAGUACUGUUCAUAGACCCUCCUGUACACUACAUGGAUCUACGAUUUUGUUCCAUGAUGCUAGAGUCAACACGAGGUCAGAAGUUUUGCGAGAAGCAAACUAUCCAGACGUUAGCAACAUUAUUUGAUAGCUGGCCUGGGAUGGACAACGACAUCUCAUCAUGCAACAAGGUAAGCAAAAUAGUUUGUCCAUUGUUAUCAUGGUUUAUUGUUUUUUCUAAUAGCCCCACUUGUAGAUUUAUCUUCCCUAUGCAUCUAUCGGUCGAUACAUCUUGUACGUCAUCGGCAAAGAGGCACGUCGUCUAUAUAUUAUGGAUCCUAUUCAAACAUCACAAUCGUUAGAGGAAAAAAAAAUGAGGCAUGCACUGAAACUAAAAAGUUUUGCAAGGGAUUUCAAAGAAGCGAUUGAAAUAAAGCUGCCUGGUUGGAAUUAUGAUAUAUCUAAAUGGCAACGUUUAUUUCCGUCCGGUGUUCCAACGAGUAUAGACGGGAAUGUGGCUGGCUAUUUUGUUUUUCAUUUUAUGCUAUGGUGGAACGGUAAAGAAUUGGUCAAGCCGAUUUGCGCGGUGGGUAU